rnacentral:rRNA from 1 species
UACGUAGGCAGCGAGCGUUGUUCGGAAUUACUGGGCGCAAAGAGUGUGUAGGCGGCGCUCUAAGUUCGGUGUGAAAUCUCUCGGCUUAACUGGGAGGGUGCGCCGGAAACUGGAGUGCUCGAACGUGGGAGAGGAAAGCGGAAUUCCUGGUGUAGCGGUGAAAUGCGUAGAUAUCAGGAGGAACACCUGCGGUGUAGACGGCUUUCUGGACCAUUGUUGACGCUGAGACACGAAAGCGUGGGUAGCAAACAGG